GAAUAAUUAGGGUUUUAGGGCAUAGGAAAAAAGCAACAAGCAAACCCAAGGCAAGACCUCCCAAGCUUGGGUUUCACACCUUAAGCAAGGAUUAGAUGGAACACCAGUGGUGAGUACCCCUAACUAGGGUUUAUUGGGUCAAAAGGUGAAAUCAAGAACCAAAGCCAGACAACUAGGGUUUAGGGGUGGAUGAGGUAUCAUGAUGUAGAUUCACAAGGUUAAAG
rnacentral:lncRNA from 1 species